rnacentral:tRNA from 5 species
GGUUCGGUAGCUCAGCUGAAUAGAGCAACAGCCUUCUAAGCUGUGGGUCCUGGGUUUGAGUCCCAGCCGAAUCACCA